rnacentral:rRNA from 1 species
GAUGAACGCUGGCGGCGUGCCUAACACAUGCAAGUCGAGCGAAGCACUCUACCUGAUUUCUUCGGGAUGAAGGUUUAGUGACUGAGCGGCGACGGUGAGUACGCGUGGUAACCUGCCUCAUACAGGGGAUAACAGUUAGAAAUGACUGCUAAUACCGCAUAAGACCACAGCACCGCAUGGUGCAGGGGUAAAAACUCCGGUGGUAUGAGAUGGAUCCGCGUCUGAUUAGCUAGUUGGUAAGGUAACGGCUUACCAAGGCAACGAUCAGUAGCCGACCUGAGAGGGUGACCGGCCACAUUGGGACUGAGACACGGCCCAA